GACAGAGGGUGCAAACGUUGUUCGGAAUUACUGGGCGUAAAGGGCGCGUAGGCGGCCUUCUAAGUCGAACGUGAAAUCCCUGGGCUCAACCCAGGAACUGCGUCCGAUACUGGGAGGCUUGAAUCCGGGAGAGGGAUGCGGAAUUCCAGGUGUAGCGGUGAAAUGCGUAGAUAUCUGGAGGAACACCGGUGGCGAAGGCGGCAUCCUGGACCGGCAUUGACGCUGAGGCACAAAAGCUUAGGUAUCAAACAGG
rnacentral:rRNA from 1 species